GUUUGUGUGUGUCAUUGGACCCUGUAGAGAGGUGCUAGGUAAGAUGGCUGUCUGUGUGCGUCAUUGGACCAUGUAGACAGGUACUAGGUAAGAUGGCUGUCUGUGUGUCAUUGGACCCUGAAUACAGGUACUAGGUACGAUGGCUGUUUGUGUGUGUCAUUGGACCCUGUAGACAGGUGCUAGGUAAGAUGGCUGUCUGUGUGUGUCAUUGGACCAUGAAGACAGGUGCUAGGUACGAUGGCUGUUUGUGUGUAUCGUGGGACCAUGAAGACAGGUGCUAGGUAAGAUGGAUGUUUGUGUGUAUCGUGGGACCAUGAAGACAGGUGCUAGG